CUUAAUAGCGUGGAGGUUCGAGUCCUCUUCAAGGCAUAAAAUUUAUCAUGCUUAUUGAAUGAGCAAUCCAAUGGCAAAUCU
rnacentral:tRNA from 1 species